AGCGAACGCUGGCGGCAGGCUUAACACAUGCAAGUCGAGCGGGCAUCUUCGGAUGUCAGCGGCAGACGGGUGAGUAACACGUGGGAACGUACCCUUCGGUUCGGAACAACUCUGGGAAACUGGAGCUAAUACCGGAUACGCCCUUAUGGGGAAAGGUUUACUGCCGAAGGAUCGGCCCGCGUCUGAUUAGCUAGUUGGUGGGGUAACGGCCUACCAAGGCGACGAUCAGAAGCUGGUCUGAGAGGAUGAUCAGCCACACUGGGACUGAGACACGGCCCAGACUCCUACGGGAGGCAGCAGUGGGGAAUAUUGGACAAUGGGCGCAAGCCGGAUCCAGCCAUGCCGCGUGAGUGAUGAAGGCCUUAGGGUUGUAAAGCUCUUUUGUCCGGGACGAUAAUGACGGUACCGGAAGAAUAAGCCCCGGCUAACUUCGU
rnacentral:rRNA from 1 species